CCAUCACUUGGAUCUGGUCUGGGGAGGGGUGGGAUUUUUUUCUGGAAGUCUUCCCCCCACACCCCACGGAGGAGGAUUUGAGCCUGGGCUUCAAUCAAGGCGGAGGCUGCAGGGCCCACGGGGCACCCCCCCAUAACCCCUACACACGCCUCCCCAGAGCCCUGGAAGGCGCAGCCCCGGGGGGCUGCCCCCCGGAGGAGGCAGCAGCGUUGCAGAUAAACCUGCCAGUAAUUUCAGCGAGUGAAACACAGACUGUGUAAAGACCAGAGGAUAGAAAACGCUCCACUUUUGAUAAAAGGAGGUCUGCUCUGCCUCGAAUCCUCCCUCCUGCUGGUAGGAGACGCAAAGAUAUAUCCAGAGGAGCUGAUGAAUUGAGGCAAAAGAAACGAGGCCAAUGAGACACAAUGAGGAGCUCCGCUUUCAGAAACAGGCCUUGUCACAUUGUUGUGGAAGAAAGGAGAUGGGGAUGUACGAUCACAGAGACAACGUGGGACCUGCAGUCCCAAACUGGGAUUGGAAGCACCAGGAUGAACUCAUGUCAUGAUUUGCCUUACAGAAUAAAGCAUGUUUCCUAGCUCUGUCCACAGAAAAAGUUAGGAAUAAUGAACAAUUCAGCAGAGAGCACUGCCAGCGUUCCGAUUAGGGUCUCUAAAUACCACUUCUAGCAAGAAAUCAGCGUUCAGUGCAGAUACAGCCAAUUCCAAGUCCGGAUGCGUACAAAAUGAGCCCCAAACAUCUGUCAUCCAGGUAGCAUGGAAACUCUCAAAGGUUCCUGGGGUCAUGUCAGAAAAGGUGAAGAGGACAGUGUGAUAGGGCGGCUGGCCAAAGACGGGACAGUUUCAGCAUCAAUAAGAAUAAUAGCUGCCCUGGACUGAAAUGUGUUGUAUAUGUCCGAAUCUAUGAGUUCACAAUGACACUUAGAAAAAAGACAUAAACAUUUGUCAUCUUCAGAGGACGUUGAAAACCAACUCAUUAUUUUGAAAACUGUCAAAGGGAAAGAAUCAAGCAUUUCUCUUUCCUGGAAGGUUCUUUUGAUAGAAAUAUUCCAGCUAACAAAGAUGGAUAAAAUUUAUUUGCCGCCAUUUUGCCCCCUCUAAUGGAUCUGGACAGUGAUCAUCAAUGCUGCUGACAUCGCAAGACCUUAUGUGCCUUCAAAUGGAGAUACAAAACAGCCACUCGGAAGUCCUCAUAAACAUACACACUCACAAAACCAAGAAUUAAUCCAAGUAUCUUACAGAUCUAACUGAUGACUUACAAGAAAUAUAAGGGGGAGAUGAACAUGUAUAAUAUUAAUAUAGUGACGCAAUAAGCAAAAUCCAGACUGUAGGACGCUCUACAGAACAACCAACCCAGUUUCUCAACAAAGACAUUACAAGGGAAGAAAAAAAAGGGUGAGAGAACCUCCAGAUUGAGAAAGACCCAAGAGACCUAUCAACCAAUCACAAUGGAUGAAACUUGUAUGGAUCCUAAUUUUAACCAACUAUAAAGAAAGCAAUUAUGAGACAACCAAAGAAAUUCAAACACUGGCUAGAUACUUGCUGAUCUUAAAGCAUGACUGUUAGUUUUAGUAGGGGUGAUAAUGGAGUCAUAUACUAAAAUAUUCGCAAAAGAAAUGAUUGCUGUCUGGAUUUUGCUUCUAAAGAUACG